rnacentral:sRNA from 1 species
UUUAAUUACAACACAUCAUUUGAAGUCGUUAUACUUUUGGAAGAGAAAGCAGAUAAUGUCAAAAUACAUUUCCCUGGUUUUCAUCUACAUUUUAUAUUCACCAAGAAAGUUAGUCGAUUUGGAAGAGGCAUUGGAGGCAUGAUAUUGGCUGUUCAGAAAUCGUUAGCGAAGAAAGGAGUGCGAAGCGCAAAUUGGGAAAACGAUUUCUACAUGUAUGGUUUAGAGGAAGUUAACCCAAUACUUAUUGGAGAUAUAAACGGAAGGAUUGGAGAUAUCCAUCAAAUCUUAGUAUCCAACCACAUGGAUAAUUGCCCAUCAAAGUUUGAAGAUCCAUGGACAAAGAACUAACUCCAAAGGACAAAUAUACAUAAACCAUUGUUAUGACUUCAAUAUGGCUAUACUUAACGGACAAACAAAAGGAAACGAGGAGGGCAACUUUACACUCAUCAACACAAUAGAGCAAUCGGUUGUUGAUUUAUGUGUUGUUCCGUUCAAUAUCCUUAAGCUUAUUAGAAGUUUUACUGUAAGCGGAAAAUAUUGGUCGCAUGAUUUACCAAUUGUCUUAAACCUAGAAAUGGCGGGCGAUGAAAUUUUUUACCGAAAUGUUUGUGGAAAGUUGAGAAUAAAUCGAAUUACCAAAGGAA